GACGAACGCUGGCGGCGUGCUUAACACAUGCAAGUCGAACGGAAAGGCCCCCACUUUUUUGGUGGGGGUGCUCGAGUGGCGAACGGGUGAGUAACACGUGGGUGAUCUGCCCUGUACUUCGGGAUAAGCUUGGGAAACUGGGUCUAAUACCGGAUAGGACCAUGGUUUAGUGUCUCAUGGUGGAAAAAUUAUUGUUUUGGUGCAGGAUGAGCUCGCGGCCUAUCAGCUUGUUGGUGGGGUAAUGGCCUACCAAGGCGUCGACGGGUAGCCGGCCUGAGAGGGUGGACGGCCACAUUGGGACUGAGAUACGGCCCAGACUCCUACGGGAGGCAGCAGUAGGGAAUAUUGCACAAUGGGCGCAAGCCUGAUGCAGCGACGCCGCGUGGGGGAUGACGGCCUUCGGGUUGUAAACUCCUUUCGUUAGGGACGAAGCCGCACCUUUUUUGGGUGUGGUGACGGUACCUUUGUUAAGAAGCACCGGCUAACUACGUG
rnacentral:rRNA from 1 species